UGCUGUUUAUCUUUCUAAUGUUUGUCAUUUGAACUCAGACCUUGGAAAAACCUGGUGAAAAUUUGCAAAAGUUACCUCAGUUGACCAAUGGUGCAAUAUUGAAAGUUCCCCCAGGCACUUUAUGAUGCGGCUUUUGGGUCAGUCAGCAGGGAAGCUAACAACCCUGAAGCUGCCUUCGCUUAAUGUUAAAGAUGCUCAGACAUAUACAGCCACGAACCCCACUCGCGCUGAGAAUGAAGGA